AUUGAACGCUGGCGGCAUGCCUUACACACGCAAGUCGAGCGGCAGCGCGGGGGCAACCCUGGCGGCGAGCGGCGCACGGGUGAGUAAUACAUCGGAACGUGUCCUUUCGUGGGGGAUAACCAGUCGAAAGAUUGGCUAAUACCGCAUGAGAUCUCACGAUGAAAGCGGGGGACCCGAGGGUAACUUCGGGCCUCGCGCGAUUGGAGCGGCCGAUGUCGGAUUAGCAGUUGGCGGGGUAAAAGCCCACCAAGGCGACGAUCCGUAGCUGGUUUGAGAGAACGACCAGCCACACUGGGACUGAGACACGGCCCAGACUCCUACGGGAGGCAGCAGUGGGGAAUUUGGACAAUGGGGGCAACCCUGAUCCAGCCAUGCCGCGUGUGUGAAGAAGGCCU
rnacentral:rRNA from 1 species